rnacentral:lncRNA from 1 species
CUGGAACAUUGUUAUAAUGCAUGGCAGCAGGGGACUUGUUUUCCCUCUUACUGCAUCAGUGUUUUUAAAAUUGGAAAGCCUUGUUUUAAGCAUGUGCGCACACAGUAUGAAUAGUACAGUACAGAUGUACUUUGAUACCAGAGUAAAAAAAUCUCCCAAGAAACCGCUGUGAAUGUCAAUAGUAGAGAGGAUAAUUGAGAUCAACUUAUUGCUUUGUCAUUUUUCAAGGCAAGAACUCUUUUAAAUAACAGUCAUUUUAUUAUCCAAGUUCUAAUUCAACUAUACAGUGUCCCUUUAUUAACCCAAAAAGAACUUUUGUGAAGUUAAUCUUCCGGAGCAGAUUAAAUGUUAACUAUUCUGUUAUUUUCCAGAUUCAUCCUAAUAAAAUAGACAGUGAAUUAAUAUUGUACCAGAAUCAAGUUAUGAGAGAGGCAGAUCUGUUUCAAGAAUCUCUGGAACAUAUAGAAACUUAUGAGAGGCAAAUAUGUGACAAGCCGGAGAGUUGAGAAUCAGGAGCCUUUUCUCAGUUUAGCAGGUAACCAAUUUCAGCUGAGCGACACCAGAAAUUAACCUGAGACUGGAGCACCUUCCCUGGGUGGGAUGGCUAAAAGAAGUUGGGGCUUUCAUAGCUUAGGGAAAGCUAGUGGUGUCCAAACUUUUUUCAAAAAGGGCCAGAUUUGAUGAAGUGAAGGGCCAUGAGGGCCAACCAAAGUUGUUGAGCUUUUUAUGAUUUUACCCCAGGAAAUAAACUGCCACAGGAGCUGGAUUAAACUGACCGGUGGACCGGAUUAAGCCCCCAAAAGUAGCUUUCUGACCACUAGAUGGUGUUGUGGGCCAGAGGUGCUCACCUGACCCCUGGUCACUUGGGUCACUGAUGCAUCCCAAGAUGGAGUGGAGGGACAAUGCACCAACAGCCCAUCUGGAGGUCAGCUGAACACCAUCAGCCCACUCUACUCUCUGCGACAGUUGGCUACCACGGACAAAAAACUCCUCUCUCUCAUCACAGUGGAAAUUGAGGCAUUCAGGACCAAGCACACAUUUGUGUUUAGCACAUACUUUACAAACAACAGCACAACCGUCUUGUUGCACCUUAAAUACUGAGGGGACAGUCCUAUAGCAAGAUUUGCCAGGCUGAGCAUGUUAGGAUGCAGUGGAUCUCCAGCUGAACUGGAAGGCUCCUGGUGCAGCUGAGCUGAGUCCCCCAACCGAGCUCAGCCAAAAAGGUGCCCAUGCCCUUUCCUCCAUCCCAGCACAGUAGGGACCCAACUGGGGCAGCCAAGCCCAGUAGAUUGCAAGCCAGUGAAACCCCUGAAAAUAGAGUGUGGCAGGUAUGGGUCAGGGAUAUAUGCUGCAGCCUAAGCCCAUUCAGCUCAGCCAGGAACUCAGUGGGAGGUGAAUCAGCAUAAAGGGUUCUCUAACUGAAAUUGCAUCAUGGAAGUCAUUGGGGAGAGCCUGAUUCCCAGAAAUUGGUCACUCUGGAAGGAGAGGGGAGCCUCAGCUACACCCUCUUCCUAAUGUGGAGGGCUGGUGGUUGCCACAAAUAUCCCUUGCACCCCCACAUGGGUGCCCCAGGCCUCCACACUCCCAGAGCCUUGUGGUUUGCUCCCAGGUCCCAACAUGCAGAUCUCUCGGGGGGGGGGCAGGAAAACUCUGAGCCACCCCUGAUAACAACACUGGCCAGCAUGUCCCCCUCCCUGGGACUUUUGAAUGGGCUCAGGAUAGGUUUACGCACACCUCAUUUGCACCAGCUUACUCUGUACCACCUCCCUGUGCCUUGGAUUGUCCUGUAAAGCAUACUAUAGUAAAUCAGUCACAAGAGUCUCUGUUUCUGCUGCUACAAACCAACAGAGCUGUCACUGUUUUUUAGAAAAAUCAUGCAAACAACAGCCACUGGUUGGGUAGGACUAAGGAUCAAACCUGGCAAAGAGGAGCAAUAUAAUCCUUUCCUCCCCUGCUGUGGUUCUAACAACAACAACAAAAGGCACAUUCCUCCAAAAUUGUUAAUUUUCUUGGGUGCCAAUGGGAGCUUACCUCCCAAUGCACACAGCGGCUUCAGAGGAGUUAUGUUUGUCAGGAUGGUGUCAAGGAAGGAAAGGGUUAACUUCCCCAUUCCUACCUGCUAUACAUAAUCCUAAAAAUCCAUAGUGCCCCCUGUGGCUGCUAUUGCUUUCUUUUCCUUUUUAAAAGUGACUGUUAAGAACAAAGUUUAGCCUUUGUUGAAGAUGAUUAGCAGCAGGUACAGGACAUACCGUUGGAAGUGGAUAUUUUACACAUUUAAUUACCUUAUGGAGUUUACUGCCACAAGGUGUUCUGAUGGCCACUUGCUGUACAAUAGAACAUGACAGGUUCAUCAAGAGAUAUUGGUAGGCAUCUAUCAUUUUUGGCUGGUCUUGCCAAGGCAAAAAUUGUAGUUUUAAUCCUGAGGGAGCGUGCCGAGCUUGGCGGAUGAAAUGCCUCUGGUGAGCAACACCCAAUGCCCCCUUCCACAAGAAGGGACAGCAGGAGGGGUCUUGAAGUUGCCCAUCAAUAGUUAGCACCUUGACACAGAUUAAGCAGGCACAUAGCUCUUAAAGUCUUCCCUGCCAUGGUUCAAGAGUGGCUGGGGAUGGGUGGGGUAAAAUUAUUAUUAUUCAGAUGUAUUUGUAUUUAAGUGACAGUAUUUUUUUCUAAAUCUCCAUCUAUAUGUAUAAAUUUGCAGGGGCAUUUCUUAUGCAAAUCCCUGUCAUCUUUCAUCCUCUGUUUUGAUGCGUUUGUCCUCUCUUUUUUGCUAUGCAUAAACGACCACUUUAUGGCAAGCGGGGAAGGAGUUAGAGAGCCAGCAGGUGAAAAAAAAUGCCUUCCUUUAUCAGGUGGCUUCCUCCAAGUCUGUGGACCACUGAAUCUCGCCGGAUGCUAUUCGGCAGUUGAAUGCGCAUGCAUCCUCUGUGCGCCCCGAGAUGCUGGGAUCCCACGCUCCCGGGGUCCCCGAGAAGGCCGGCUGCUCAGCACACGGGCUCCCGCGGCUUUGAGGCUCCUGAAGCGGCUGCCUUCCGCCUUUGGUCAGGCCUCUUCCGCGUGCCGAGCCCAGCUGCUGCCUGGCUGCCUGAAGCCGAAGCGACCCGAAG